AUGGCGGUGGCCCUCCCGCCGGCCUUCCCUCCGCACGGCCUUCCCCAGCUGGACGCUUCUGCCGGGGACAUGGGCCCGCGCCUCCUGCAGGUGCGCGGGCUCCGCCGGCUGCCGCUCCACGAGCUCGUCCCCCGCCUCGCCGAGCUCCGCGCCGACGAGGCCGGCCCCGUGCGCAAGGUCGUCGUCGAGAUGAUUGGUGAGAUUGGGUCAAAGCACACUGUGUUUAUACCUGACAUGAUGCCCUCUCUGCUGGAUCUUUUGAACGAUGAGACGCCGGCGGUUGCGAGACAGGCUGUUAAAACAGGAACAGACUUAUUUGCCAAAGUACUGCAAGAGCUCGUUAUCCAGGGUUUGUUCUCGAGUGGGGGGAUUGACGAGUCACUCAAGUCAUCAUGGGAAUGGAUGCUCAAGCUUAAAUCAGCGGUGUCGCUCAUGGCAUUUCAGCCUACCAGCAAUGAAGGAGUCAGGAUGCUGGCUGUUAAGUUUGUUGAAAAAACAGUUCUUAUGCACACCCCGGAUCCUAAUAUCACAUCUGAUCCACCAAACCAAGCUACAGAAGAUACGGGAUUCAAUAUAGCAUGGUUAAGGGGAGGUCACCCUUUGCUUAAUGUUGGUGAUCUAGCCAUGGAAGCCAGCCAGAGCCUGGGACUGUUGCUAGAACAACUUAAGUCUCCUAAAAUAAGAUUACUCAGCACUUCAAUGAUCAUUGUCUUUGUUACUAGUCUCUCGGCUAUUGCUCAAAGAAGGCCUUCCUUUUAUGGACGCAUACUGCCAGUUUUACUUUCUUUGGACCCAGCAAAUACCAUUAUCAAAGUGCAAAUUCCAGGCGCAUUCCAUGCUUUGAAGAGUGCCAUUGAUGCAUGCCUGAAAUGUACACAUUCAAGUGCUGAGCCGUGGCGAGCUCGUCUAUUGGAAGCUCAAAAUAUUAUAAACCAGGGAGAUUCAAUAGCUGCAAAUGAUUCAAAUGCUGGUAGGAGUGCUGGAGACACGUCAAACAGGGCCGAAUCGUUGCCUCUGACAGAAACAAGCACCGACAACAGUAACAAGCGGAGUCUGGCUGAUGACAUGAAUAAUAUUCUAGAAGAUGAUGGUCAUUCCAGUAAAAGGGUCAAACAAUCACAUGAUUCUCAGGAACAUAGUGAAGAGGCAAACAAGAGAAAUACCGAGGCAGCCUCUGUUGAUUCAUCAUCCAAUCAACCCACCCCUGCAAGAACUGAGAAUUCUGAAGCUGUAUAUCAAUUAAUUGGUAUGUUUGCUGCAUUAGCUGCGCAAGGCGACAGAGCUGCUGGAUCACUACAAAUCCUGUCAUCCAGUAUCGCUGCUGACCUAUUAGCAGAGGUUGUAAUGGUUAACAUGCAACACCUGCCAGUUUCUGGUCCUGAAGUAGAUCAACGACAACAUCCUUCAACUAGCCAGUCCUCUGUUGCUCCUAGUCGGAAUCUUCUUUCAGGUCGCUUUCCGAUGUUAGAGGCUCUGUGGAAGACAAUAAGUGAAACUGAUCAAGCUGAAGCACCUCCAGCUAAGGAUUCUGCUCUGGUGACAUCUGCUGCUGGUGAGAUCAUACCAGUUCUUGUCAGUUCUCCUGUUCCUUCUGCAUUAAAAACACCGAAGGAGGAGGACAUUAGUUCAGCAGUUCCACUAGAUAUAGAAAUGGUAGAGGCUAAAGUGCCCACUGCAGAUGCCACUGGGUUAUCGAUGGAGAUUCAGGAAUCAUCAGAAACUUCCCAUGCUUCUACAGAACCUCAGGGAACCCAAGAACAUUCUGGCAGUUUUGUUACUCCAUUGCCAGCUGACAAUUCUUCUGUUGGUAUCAGUUUGGCUCAAUGUUCAGAAACUCGCAGUCCAAGCUCCUCUACUAUUGACGGAAGCCAGUCACAGUUUUCAUCUUUGAAUGCCCCUACUUCACAGUAUGUUCUUCCAAAAUUGGUUGUGACUAAUGUCGACCUGACCGAUGAGGCUAAAGAUCUCCUUCAGAAAGAAGCGUUCCUGCGUAUUCUUGAGAGAGAUAAGCAAGUAGAGUCUGGUGGUUCGAAAGCUCGUCUUCCGUUGCUUUCUCACCUAAGUGUUGAGUUUCCUUUGGAGCUGGACCCUUGGGAGCUUCUCAAAAAGCAUGUACUAUCUGACUAUGUAACUAAGGAGGGACACGAGUUGACACUGGGCAUCCUGAACAGAUUAUAUCGCGAGGCAGAACAGGAUCAGGACUUCCUUUCAUCUAGAACUGCAACAUCAGUUUAUGAAUCAUUUGUUCUGACAAUAGCUGAAAAUCUUCGUGAUAUGUUUCCGGCUUCAGAUAGAUCACUUGGCAAAUUGCUUUGUGAGAUGCCAUACCUACCAGAAGGUGUAUUAAAAUUGCUAGAGGGUUUAUGUUCUCCUGGAAAUAAUGAAAAGCAGGACAAGGAUCUUCAGAGUGGUGACAGGGUAACUCAAGGUCUAAGUGCUGUCUGGAACCUUAUCAUGUUAAGACCUCCAAAUCGGGACAGAUGUCUGGACAUUGCUUUGCAGAGUUCAAUCAAUCGUCUAGAUGAGGUCCGCAUGAAGGCAAUACGUUUGGUAGCAAAUAAACUAUUUCCCAUGGCAAGCAUUUCCAAAAGGAUUGAAGAUUUUGCAAAUGAAAAACUUAAUUCAGUCCUAGAAGUGAUUCCAGCGGCUGAAUCUGCGUCAGCUGCUGAGAUGGCCACACCCGAGGUUCACCAGGAUGGUGGUUUAGAAAAUUUAUCCUCGGUAGCAGAUGCUCUAACUUUGAUGUCGCUGUAUUUUGCUCUGUGUACCAAGAAGCACUCCCUUCUCCGACGUGUAUUUGAAAUAUAUGGCAGUCUUCCACAGGCUGCCAAACAGGCAGUUCACAGACAAGUACCCAUUCUGAUUCGCACGAUACGUUCCUCUCCUGACCUUCUUGGUAUCAUCUCAGAUCCACCAGCUGACUGUCGGGGCCUACUCAUGCAGGUUUUACAGACUCUCACUGAUGGUGCAGUGCCAUCUCAAGAUCUGAUUUCUUCCAUAAAGAACUUAUAUUCAAAAACUAAGGAUACUGAGUUCCUUUUCCCAGUCAUGGCUCAUCUGCCAAAAGAUGAGAUUCUGUCUGUGUUUCCCAAUAUUGUUAAUCUUCCGGUGGAUAAGUUUCAAGUUGCCCUUUCUCGAAUCCUGCAGGGAUCACCACAACAUGGCCCUAUUCUUGACCCAUCAGAAAUUUUGAUUGCGAUUCAUGUAAUAGAUCCUGAAAAAGAAGGAAUACCACUGAAAAAGGUUAUGGAUGCAUGUGCUGCCUGCUUCGAGCAGAGGACAACAUUCACUCAGCAAGUUUUGGCAAAAGCACUAAACCAACUGGUUGAACAGAUUCCCCUACCUUUGCUGUUCAUGCGAACUGUUAUGCAAGCGAUAAGUGCAUUUCCUGCCUUGGUGGAUUUUGUGAUGGAGAUCAUGUCACGCCUUGUUAACAAGCAGAUAUGGAAAUAUCCGAAGUUAUGGGUAGGAUUCCUGAAGUGUGCUAUCCUGAUAAAACCUCAGUCCUAUGGUGUGUUACUGCAGUUACCAGCUCCACAACUCGAAAAUGCCCUGAAUAAGAACCCUCUACUGAAGGCGCCCUUGGUCGAGCAUGCCAGCCAGCCAAACGUGCGAUCAACUCUCCCGAGAUCUAUCUUGGUGGUUCUGGGUCUCGCCGAAGAUCAACAGCAGCAGCCCGCACCUGAGGCACAGAGCAGCCAGAACCAGGCCGCGGAGACCAGCAGCUCCGCCGCAGAGGCCACGACGGAAGUAACUCAGGAAUCCUCCGCCGCCAGUUGA
rnacentral:rRNA from 1 species